rnacentral:tRNA from 1 species
GUUUCAUGAGCUGAGUUGGUAGAGCAUGGCGCUUGCAACGCCAGUGUUGUGGGUUCGAUUCCAACAGGGGACC